UACGGGGGGAGCAAGCGUUGUUCGGAUUUACUGGGCGUAAAGGGCGCGUAGGCGGCCACCGCAAGUCGAUUGUGAAAUCUCCGGGCUUAACCCGGAAAGGUCAACCGAUACUGCGGGGCUAGAGUGCAGAAGGGGCAACUGGAAUUCUCGGUGUAGCGGUGAAAUGCGUAGAUAUCAGGAAGAACACCUAUGGCGAAGGCAGCACUCUGGGACGGUACUGACGCUGAGACGCGAAAGCGUGGGGAGCGAACAGG
rnacentral:rRNA from 1 species